AAGACCCCCCAGCGGAAAAAUGGCCAAAAAACUGGUGGGCUAUAGCCUUGGUGGGCGGCGUGGGCGAAGUUCGUCCGCGGGACUCGGAAUGGCACCAGACUUGGCGGGCGGCCUCCGUGUGCCAAAAAUAGGCCACGGGCACAGCCUCGUCCAAAAAUCAGCCCCCGAAGGUCGGGGUCCCAAGACCCCCCAGCGGAAAAAUGGCCAAAAAACGGGUGGGCUAUAGCCUUGGCGGGGGGCGUGGGCGAAGUUCGUCCGCGGGACUCGGAAUGGCACCAGAAUUGGCGGGCGGCCUCCGUGUGCCAAAAAUAGGCCACGGGCACAGCCGCACCAAAAAAUCUGCCCGCGAAGGUCGGGGUCCCAAGACCCCCCAGCGGAAAAAUGGCCAAAAAACGGGUGGGCUAUAGCCUAUGUGGGGGGCAUGGGUGAAGUUCGUCCGCCGGACUCGGAAUGGCCCCAGACUUGGCGGGCGGCCUCCGUGUGCCAAAAAUAGGCCACGGGCACAGCCACGCCCAAAAAUCAGCCCCCGAAGGUCGGGGUCCCAAGAUCCCCCAGCGGAAAAAUGGCCAAAAAAAGGGUGGGCUAUAGCCUUGGUGGGCGGCGUGGGCGAAGUUCGUCCGCGGGACUCGGAAUGGCCCUAGGCUUGGCGGGCGGCCUCCGUGUGCCAAAAAUAGGCCACUGGCACAGCCGCGCCCAAAAAUCAGCCCCCGAAGGUCGGGGUCCCAAGACCCCCCAGCGGAAAAAUGGCCAAAAAACGGGUGGGCUAUAGCCUUGGUGGGGGGCGUGGGCGAAGUUCGUCCGCGGGACUCGGAAUGGCACCAUACUUGGCGGGCGGCCUCCGUGUGCCAAAAAUAGGCCACGGGGACAGCCGCGCCCAAAAAUCAGCCCCCGAAGGUCGGGGUCCCAAGACCCCCCAGCGGAAAAAUGGCCAAAAAACGGGUGGGCUAUAGCCUUGGUGGGCGGCGUGGGCGAAGUUCCUCCGCGGGACUCGGAAUGGCCCCAGGCUUGGCGGGCGGCCUCCGUGUGCCAAAAAUAGGCCACGGGCACAGCCACGCCCAAAAAUAAGCCCCCGAAGGUCGGGGUCCCAAGACCCCCCAGCGGAAAAAUGGCCAAAAAAAGGGUGGGCUAAUAGCCUAUGUGGGGGGCGUGGGCGAAGUUUGUCCGCGGGACUCGGAAUGGCCCCAGGCUGGCGGGGCGGCCUCCGUGUGCCAAAAAUAGGCCACGGGCACAGCCGCGCGGAAAAAUCAGCCCCCGAAGGUCGGGGUCCCAAGACCCCCCAGCGGAAAAAUGGCCAAAAAAGGGUGGGCUAUAGCCUAUGUGGGGGGCGUGGGCGAAGUUCGUCCGCGGGACUCGGAAUGGCCCCAGACUUGGCGGGCGGCCUCCGUGUACCAAAAAUAGGCCACGGGCACAGCCGCGCCUAAAAAUCAGCCCCCGAAGGUGGGGGUCCCAAUACCCCCCAGCGGAAAAAUGGCCAAGAAACGGGUGGGCUAUAGCCUUGGUGGGCGGCGUGGGCGAAGUUCGUCCGCGGGACUCGGAAUGGCAGCAGACUUGGCGGGCGGCCUCCGUGUGCCAAAAAUAGGCCACGGGCACAGCCGCGCCCAAAAAUCAGCCCCCGAAGGUCGGGGUCCCAAGACCCCCCAGCGGAAAAAUGGCCAAAAAAAGGGUGGGCUAUAGCCUUGGUGGGCGGCGUGGGCGAAGUUCGUCCGCGGGACUCGGAAUGGCCCCAGGCUUGGCGGGCGGCCUCCGUGUGCCAAAAAUAGGCCACGGGCACAGCCGCGCCCAAAAAUAAGCCCCCGAAGGUCGGGGUCCCAAGACCCCCCAGCGGAAAAAUGGCCAAAAAACGGGUGGGCUAGAGCCUUGGCGGGGGGCGUGGGCAAAGUUCGUCCGCGGGACUCGGAAUGGCACCAGACUUGGCGGGCGGCCUCCGUGUGCCAAAAAUAGGCCACGGGCACAGCCGCGCCCAAAAAUCAGUCCCCGAAGGUCGGGGUCCCAAGACCCCCCAGCGGAAAAAUGCCAAAAAACGGGUGGGCUAUA
rnacentral:lncRNA from 1 species